CCUACGGGAGGCAGCAGUGGGGAAUAUUGCACAAUGGGCGCAAGCCUGAUGCAGCCAUGCCGCGUGUAUGAAGAAGGCCUUCGGGUUGUAAAGUACUUUCAGCGGGGAGGAAGGUGUUGAGGUUAAUAACCUCAGCAAUUGACGUUACCCGCAGAAGAAGCACCGGCUAACUCCGUGCCAGCAGCCGCGGUAAUACGGAGGGUGCAAGCGUUAAUCGGAAUUACUGGGCGUAAAGCGCACGCAGGCGGUCUGUCAAGUCGGAUGUGAAAUCCCCGGGCUCAACCUGGGAACUGCAUUCGAAACUGGCAGGCUGGAGUCUUGUAGAGGGGGGUAGAAUUCCAGGUGUAGCGGUGAAAUGCGUAGAGAUCUGGAGGAAUACCGGUGGCGAAGGCGGCCCCCUGGACAAAGACUGACGCUCAGGUGCGAAAGCGUGGGGAGCAAACAGGAUUAGAUACCCCAGUAGUC
rnacentral:rRNA from 1 species